UACGUAGGCAGCGAGCGUUGUUCGGAGUUACUGGGCGUAAAGCGUGCGUAGGCGGUUUUGUAAGUUUGGUGUGAAAUCCCCCGGCUCAACUGGGGAGGGUCACGCGAUACUGAUCGACUCGAAGGCAGGAGAGGGAAGUGGAAUUCCCGGUGUAGUGGUGAAAUGCGUAGAUAUCGGGAGGAACACCAGUGGCGAAGGCGACUUCCUGGCCUGUUCUUGACGCUGAGGCGCGAAAGCUAGGGGAGCAAACGGG
rnacentral:rRNA from 1 species